AGUAGAGAUUGGCUGUUCAAAUUCUUCUGACAGGGAAUAUGAAGGAGGGAAAGAGAUAACGAACAAACAACACCAUCAGUUCAAGUUAAAGCGGCUAAUGGUUUGUUAGAAAAAAAACUACUAAUGGUAUCCGAAACGGUUAAAUAAUAAAUGAAAGUUGUUUAUGAAGUCAGGACAUUAAAUGUAAGAUAUAGGCUUUUUAAUUUCUUUUAUUAACAUAAUAAAUGAAAAGGUUUAAAAAUAACAGAAUAAUUUGAAAUUUGCUGAAAGAAAAGAUGGUACAUGAUGGCGCGCUAUAAAACCUUAAAAUUAGGACAGUAUAAAUAGUGCGGGUUGUACAUGAAGUUGAGUAUCAGAGUCACAAACUGAAAAGUUGGGUGUAGCCAUGGAGGGCAGGAGUAAGAAGAAGGGUAAAGAAAGCAGUGCAAGCGGUCAAUGGCGUGUGGGUUUACUAUACGAUAGGAGGAUGUGCAAACACUACGCGUCGAACGAGCCGAAGCACGUCGAGAAUCCUAAUCGCAUUAGGUCAAUUUGGAACCGACUCGAAGCCGCCGGCGUUCCUCAACGAUGCGUGUUUCUAGAGGCCAAGAAAGCUGAAGACAGACAUGUGCGGUUAGUUCAUUCCAGACAUCACGUGAAUCUGAUUAAGAACAUUAGCGCCAGGGGGUUCAAAUCGCGGAGGUAUUGAAUUCCGUAUAUUUUAAUGAAGGUUCAUCUGAAGCUGCGCUCCUUGUUGCUGUCUCUGCUGUAGAGGUUGUUGAAAAGGUGGCAAGCGGGGAAUUGGAUUCAGCUGUUGCCAUUGUGAGGCCCCCAGGUCAUCAUGCAGAACAUAAUGAAGCUAUGAGAUUUUGUCUCUUCAACAAUGUGGCAGUUGCUGCAAGAUAUCUCUUAGACUCUAAGAGUGAGUUACAUUGCACCUACUACCAAUUCCAAUUUUACUAAGAAUUUCUAGCCUAUAGAUGUCUGUUACUUUAUUGCCUCCUUUAUUUUUCCGUGUGCGACAGCCUGAUUUAGGUGUGAAGAAAAUUUUAAUUGUUGAUUGGGAUGUCCAUCAUGGAAAUGGUACUCAAAAAACGUUCUGGAAUGACUCUCGAGUUUUGUUCUUCUCCGUUCACAGGCAUGACUUUGGGUUUUUUAUCCUGCCGAGCACCACGGGUAUUAUGAUCAGGUGGGAGAAGGAGAAGGUGUUGGAUAUAAUAUAAAUGUCCCCAGGGAGCCGGGGAAAUGUGGUGAUCCAGAUUACAUUGCAGUGUGGGACCACAUCUUGCUUCCUGUUGCUAAAGAAUUUAAUCCAGACAUAGUUAUAGUUUCUGCUGGAUUUGAUGCAGGUAUGUUAUUGUGACGUUUGGGUUUUUCUGUUAUCUGUGUGGGAGGAGAGGGUAUCACUAGUUCUUCCCAUGGCUUUGGAGCAUUGCUAGCUAGCUUUUGUAAUUGAACUUCAGUUUACCUGUUUUGCAAGAAGGAAGUGGAUUUGGGUCAGUUGAUAUGUUAAUUUAUUACUUUUAACUGUAACAAGUAAUAAUUAUUCACUUAUUUGUCACAGCUGUAGAGGACCCUCUAGGAUGAUGUCGUCUCACAGCAGUUAGUUAUUCUGUUUUGUUGGAGAAGAUUACUUUAAGAUUGAAUU